CAGCAGUAGCCACGGUAAUACAGAGGGUGCAAGCGUUAAUCGGAAUUACUGGGCGUAAAGCGCGCGUAGGUGGUUUGUUAAGUUGGAUGUGAAAUCCCCGGGCUCAACCUGGGAACUGCAUCCAAAACUGGCAAGCUAGAGUAUGGUAGAGGGUGGUGGAAUUUCCUGUGUAGCGGUGAAAUGCGUAGAUAUAGGAAGGAACACCAGUGGCGAAGGCGACCACCUGGACUGAUACUGACACUGAGGUGCGAAAGCGUGGGGAGCAAACAGGAUUAGAUACCCCUGUAGUCCCUGUCUCUUAUAA
rnacentral:rRNA from 1 species